rnacentral:lncRNA from 1 species
AUUACCAGGGUUUUGAAAAGGUCGACAUGGUGAUUGAAGCUGUUUUUGAGGACCUCAAUGUUAAGCACAAAGUACUAAAGGAAGUAGAAACAGUGAUUCCAGAUCACUGUAUCUUUGCCAGUAACACAUCUGCUCUCCCAAUCAAUGAAAUUGCUGCUGUCAGCAAAAGACCUGAGAAGGUGAUUGGUAUGCACUACUUUUCUCCUGUGGACAAGAUGCAGCUACUAGAGAUCAUCACAACAGAGAAAACAUCCAAGGACACAACUGCUUC